rnacentral:lncRNA from 1 species
CUGUAGCGUCCGUUUCCCUGGAGUCCGCUCCAAGCCCCUUAAGUAUCGCAUAUAUUUUGAUUCCAUCAACCAAUAACGUCCCGGACCACCGGAUAUUGCCGUCACAGGUAACAGAUCUGUGGUGACAAAAUGAACCUGGUGGGAGUUUUACCACAGCGGCAAGUUUUAUGUUUCUCGGCUUGUCCCUGACCUCCCUGACCACUUUUAUGCAAAACAAAAUAAAAAUCGUUGGCUUAAAGGUGGA